GAAAUGCGAUAAGUAGUGUGAAUUGCAGAAUUCAGUGAAUCAUCGAAUCUUUGAACGCACAUUGCGCCCUUUGGUACUCCUUAGGGCAUGCCUGUUCGAGCGUUAUCUAAACCUUCAAGCACUGCUUGGUGUUAGGUGCCUAUCCUGCCCCUGCGCGUGGACUCACCUCAAAUCCAUUGGCGGCUCUUACGUCGGCUUCGAGCGCAGUAGAAAUGCGAACUCGACGCCUGUCGGAGCGGCUCCUAGAAGCUAUAUUUACUAUUUUGACCUCGGAUCAGGUAGGGAUACCUGCUGAACUUAA
rnacentral:misc_RNA from 1 species